rnacentral:rRNA from 1 species
GGAGGAAUAUUGGUCAAUGGGCGAGAGCCUGAACCAGCCAAGUAGCGUGCAGGACGACGGCCCUAUGGGUUGUAAACUGCUUUUAUGCGGGGAUAAAGUGGGCCACGCGUGGCCUUUUGCAGGUACCGCAUGAAUAAGGACCGGCUAAUUCCGUGCCAGCAGCCGCGGUAAUACGGAAGGUCCGGGCGUUAUCCGGAUUUAUUGGGUUUAAAGGGAGCGUAGGCCGUCUUAUAAGCGUGUUGUGAAAUGUCGGGGGCUCAACCUGGGCAUUGCAGCGCGAACUGUGAGACUUGAGUGCGCAGGAAGUAGGCGGAAUUCGUCGUGUAGCGGUGAAAUGCUUAGAUAUGACGAAGAACUCCGAUUGCGAAGGCAGCCUGCUGUAGCGCAACUGACGCUGAAGCUCGAAAGCGUGGGGUAUCG